UCCUCUCUCAAACCCCCGGGUUUGGUGUUGGACCGCGUUGGUCGCAAGACCAACUGGUCUCAAAGACAAUGACGGCGUCCCAGGGACCCUCUUCGCACUGAGCUUUCCGGAGCACGCGUAGAGUUUCAAGGGCCCAGGGACCCGGUCGCCUCUAAAACUUUUUUCA
rnacentral:misc_RNA from 1 species